rnacentral:rRNA from 1 species
UACGAAGGUGGCAAGCGUUGUUCGGAUUUACUGGGCGUACAGGGAGCGUAGGCGGUUGGAUAAGCCCUCCGUGAAAUCUCCAGGCUUAACCUGGAAAGUGCAGAGGGGACUGUUCAGCUAGAGGAUGGGAGAGGGGCGCGGAAUUCCCGGUGUAGCGGUGAAAUGCGUAGAGAUCGGGAGGAAGGCCGGUGGCGAAGGCGGCGCUCUGGAACAUUUCUGACGCUGAGGCUCGAAAGCGUGGGGAGCAAACAGG